UUGUGUCGUUCGUGAACGAACGAACUAAAUUGAACUAUUCACCAAACUGAACGAACGAACUAGGUCUGCCUUUAUAGUUCAAUAUAGUUCGAUAGUUCAAUUUAGUUCACUUAGUUCAAUAUAGUUCACUUAGUUCACGUCGUUCAUUUUGAUCUCUUACCCUGAUCGUUCGUUCGUUGUUCACUUAGUUCGAUAGGUCGGUCUGAGUUCACUUAGUUCGAUAGGUCGGUCUGAGUUCACUUAGUUCGAUAGGUCGGUCUGAGUUCACUUAGUUCGAUAGGUCGGUCUGAGUUCACUUAGUUCGAUAGGUUGGUCUUAGUUCAUUUAGUUCGAAAGUUCGCUUAUCGAAUAAGCUGAUUAAUUUUCGCAUACAUUUAAAACUACGGUUUACAAGUUUGUGCGUAUCUAUGGCUUCAAAACGAAAGCAUAGCAAAGUUUGGAAUUGGAAGAUGGAGUAUAGAGAACAAAAUAUCUGCUGUGGUUUCCGAUAAUGCUGCAAAUAUUGUCAAUGCCAUUAAAACAGGAAAUUGGCCACAUAUACCAUGUUUUGCACAUAGCUUGAACCUAAUUGUGCAAAAAGGACUCCGCGAAAUCAGCGUUGUACAAAACAAAGUCAAACUCAUUGUGGAGUUUUUCAAUCGUAGCACUUUCGGCCUUAAGAAGCUGAAGUCAACUCAAACCCAAUUGAACUUGCCCGAUCUCAAAUUGAUUCAAGAUGUGUCAACUCGUUGGAAUUCAACUUUUAAAAUGCUAGAAAGGCUUGUUGUGUUGAAAGAUGCUCUUAUAUUAACACUUUCUACUCUGCGUUCUGAAUUAAACUUAUCUCAGAAUGAGUGGGCGAUAGAAGAAGAGUUACUGCCUAUAUUAAAACCAUUCAUGGAGGUAACAGAAGAAAUAUCAGCAGAAAAGAAUGUAACCCUUUCAAAGGUUAUAGUUCUUGCGAUUUUGCUACAGAACUGUUUGAAUAACAAAACGCCUAAGGAUAAAUGUGUUGCUGCACUUGUUGCAGUUCUAAAAGCUGAGAUGAAUCGACGAUUUUGCAAGCUGGAAAGUAACGAACUCUACGCAGAGAGAGUUCAAGUCAAAAGAAGAAUACGAAAAAGCUGUUUGUAAUCUUAAAAGGAAAGUAACUCCAAUUCGUCUCAACAGCGAAAAUUAUGAAUUCGAAUCACCUGCGUUUGAAACUAAUUCAGCCAAUCAGAGUUCGGUUUGGUGUGAUUUUGACAGUGAGUUCAAGAACACGACAAAGGCUGCAAACACUACCGGUUCUGCCGAGAAAGAGAUGGAAAAAUACCUCGAAGAGGAAUUUAUACCGAGGACUGCUGACCCUUUGGUUUGGUGGGAACAAAGAAAGAAAUUGUAUCCGCAUCUAUAUUCUUACAGCCUUAAGCGACUAUGCCUUAUGGCUACAUCAGUUCCUUGCGAACGCCUAUUUUCAAGUGCUGGGGAAAUCAUCCGAAAAAGACGGAUGCUACUAAAACCUAAUAAAGUGGAAAAUCUAAUGUUCCUUCAUAGCAACAUGUAGAUGGAUCACAGAAAUCAAAUAAAUGCAUUAAAAUUACUAUAUUAUCUGUUUGUAAACUCUUUAUUAUUUCUUAUUAUUAUUAUGUAUAAGUGUUUUUGACAUAAAUUGAAUAAAUAAUAUUAAUUUUCAAUGACAGCAUUGUAUGAAAUAAA